AUCCUUUUUCGGUUCAUAAGUAUGAUGAUUGGGUAUUCACACAUACAUGUUGAUCUGUACCUCCUUUAAACCUUGUUACCAUGUCAGCACAUUACCCUUCUGACA